rnacentral:rRNA from 1 species
GACGAACGCUGGCGGCGUGCUUAACACAUGCAAGUCGAACGGAAAGGCCCUGCUUUUGUGGGGUGCUCGAGUGGCGAACGGGUGAGUAACACGUGAGUAACCUGCCCUUGACUUUGGGAUAACUUCAGGAAACUGGGGCUAAUACCGGAUAGGAGCUCCUGCUGCAUGGUGGGGGUUGGAAAGUUUCGGCGGUUGGGGAUGGACUCGCGGCUUAUCAGCUUGUUGGUGGGGUAGUGGCUUACCAAGGCUUUGACGGGUAGCCGGCCUGAGAGGGUGACCGGCCACAUUGGGACUGAGAUACGGACCAGACUCCUACGGGAGGCAGCAGUGGGGAAUAUUGCAGAAUGGGCGGAAGCCUGAUGCAGAAACGCCGCGUGCGGGAUGACGGCCUUCGGGUUGUAAACCGAUGUCGCCUGUGACGAAGCGUGAGUGACGGUAAUGGGUAAAGAAGCACCGGCUAACUACGUG